GCCUGGGUAGCUCUGUCGGUAAAGUGUCAGACUUUUAAUCUGAGGGUCCAGGGUUCAUGUCCCUGUCCAGGUG